rnacentral:lncRNA from 1 species
AUUGCUAGAGGAGUGGCCCUUUUUUCUAGCUCAAGGGAGUCAAACUGAGGUUCCCUUGACCAAAACCCUCAGCCUUCCAAUACCAUCACCCAUUCAGCUAACCCUUCACCAUCCAUUUCUUUUAAAUUUGUCAGACAUGCCUCCAAUGGAUCUUUAACAAUUAGGGUCCUAUCAUCUUCGUGUAGGAUUACAUCCAUUGCCUCCCCUAGAGAGCAAUUAGCAUAUUCACUAGGUCUCCUCAUCAAGUGCUGAACAUUGAAUAUGACUUCUUCAUUGUUCAAUAUCAUUUUUAGUUCCCUAUUCUCACAGUCUAUCAAUGCUCUCCCAGUGGCUAAAAAUGGUCUCCCAAAAAUAAGGGGUAUCUCCUCAUCCACCUGACAACCAAGAAUCACAAAGUUUGCAGGGAAUACGAACUUCCCCACUUGCACCAGCACAUCAUCAAGAAUGCCAAUUGGUCUUUUCACAGUGCGAUCAGCCAGCAUAGAAGUCGGUCUUGGUCUUCCGAUGCCCAAUUUAUUAUACACUUCUUAACAAUUAGGGUCCUAUCAUCUUCGUGUAGGAUUACAUCCAUUGCCUCCCCUAGAGAGCAAUUAGCAUAUUCACUAGGUCUCCUCAUCAAGUGCUGAACAUUGAAUAUGACUUCUUCAUUGUUCAAUAUCAUUUUUAGUUCCCUAUUCUCACAGUCUAUCAAUGCUCUCCCAGUGGCUAAAAAUGGUCUCCCAAAAAUAAGGGGUAUCUCCUCAUCCACCUGACAAUCUAGAAUAACAUAGUCUGCGGAGAACACGAACUUCCUCACCUGUACCAACACAUCAUCAAGAAUACCAGUAGGCCUCUUUACGGUGCAGUCAACUAGCUGUAGUAGCAUAGAGGUCGGUCUAGCUCUGCCGAUGCCUAGUUUAGUGCAUACAACCAGCAGCAUCAGAUUUAUGUUGGCUCCCAGAUCACAUAAUGCCUUUGCAAAGGCAUAGCUCCCAAUUGUGCAUGGAAUAGUGAAGCUACCUGGAUCGGACAUCUUUUGAGCCAUCGGUUUUGUCACUAUUACGCUGCAGGUAUGUGUUAGAGUAAUAGUGGAUAGAUCUUGAAAAUCAAACUUCCUUGACAUUAGAUCCUUCAUCAUCUUGGCAUAACCCGGCAUCUCCCUCAAAGCAUCCAUAAAGGAAUAUUUAACUGAAUUUGCCGCAGCAUCUCCAUGAAUUUCUUGUAUUGAACUUCCUCAUUUUGUUUAACCAAUCUCCGAGAGAAGGGUGCAGGUACCACCCUUUGCGCAUUGUUUGUUGGCUUCUCUCUGUUGGAAUAUACUGGCACAAAAGGUACCACCUAUUCUGUAGCUUGUUCAUUCAUCUUUUCUUUGCCUAUUUCCUCCUGACUCUACUCAACCACCACUUUAGUAAGUUCUGUUGGUUUCUAUACCUCUAAGUGAACUGGAGUGGCUGGUGUAGUAUCCUUAUUGACUUGUGCAAUUUCCUACUCUAUGUCUAAAUCUCUUCCAUUUUAGAGACUUAUGCCAUCAGUUGAUUCGGGUUUUGCUCCUUGGGGUUUAUGUUUAUGUCUGCAGGCAAAGUUCCCUGAGGACAGUUGUUCAAAGCCAUGGACAUCUGACCCAGCUGCGUUUCUAUGUUCUUUAUGACUGAAUCAUGUACUGCCAAUUUUUCCUGCACUUUAUUAGUUGUCCCAAUGAGUUGCUAAAGCAUGCCCUUGAUUUCCACCAUAUUGUUAGAUUGCUGCUGAGGAGGCGGUUGAUAAGCUAAUUGUUGCUGAUUUGUUGUGGAUAGCCCUCUGGUUUCUGAUAUGGUACUGGCACUAAUUGGUUUUAAGGGUGCACACUCCCAAGCUGCUGCAUAUUAGGCUUGUACUGCUGAUUUUGCGGUGGUCUCCACUGCCGUGCUCCCUGUCUCUGGCCCCAUAGUUGUUGACAUAAUUCAUAUCAUCCCUUGCCCCUUGAUUGUCACCUUAUCCGCUCCAUGAACACACAUAAGACUGAUUAAUACACGAUGUACACAGUCCUCCAUUUGUUGUAUCAACAAUGUACACAUGUUUUGUACACAUCUUAACAAUCUUCUUUGUUAAUAUGCUCAUCUGGGUCAAGAGUGUUGCCAUUGUCUCUGCCUGCAAAUUAUUGGGAUCAAGAGGAACUGAAUGCACUAUGGGUGCCAGUGUUGUACCUCUGGUCAUCUACCCUGAAUUUUGUGAUAUCUUACCAAGAAGGAUUUUGCACUCGAUGAAUGUUUUACUUAGGAAUACACCUUCGGCUGAAACAUCCACAUAUUUGCUUUCAAAUUGUCAUCUAGCCCAUGUAUAAUCUUUGGACGAGCAUCUGGUCUUGAAUGCCAUGAUGAGGACACUUCACUAGCAUCCCUUUAAAUCUUUCCCAAGUUUCUUGAAAGGACUCGGUGGGUUGCUGCCUAUACUGCAAUAUGUCAUAAAUACGUUUUGUAGUUUUCUUAGGCGGAUAGAACUCAUUCACGAACUGCUUGAAUAAUUCCUCCCAGGUGGUGAUAGAGUUUAUAGGGAGCGAAUUUAGUCUAGUUUGAGCUUUCUCGGUUAAUGAGAAUGGGAAUAGUAGAUGUUUUAUAGCUUCCGAAGUCACAUUUGGCUGCCUUUGGGUCAUGCAAAUUGACAGGAUGUUUUUCAAGUGUAGUUGCGGGUCUUCAAUGUGUAACACGGAGAACAACCUUAUUCUGCAGCAGAUGCAGCAUGUUGUUAAUGAUCUGAAAUUUCUUCGAUUGAUUUGCGGGCACAUCUAUGGCAGUGGCGAGAUUGUCAAUUGUAGGAUGCGCCCAGUCAUAAAGUGCAGCUUCGGGCACAAGAGGUGCCACCCCUCUAAUAUUUAAAUUAGCUAACUCAUUCCUGAUGUUUCUGUUGACGUUAUCUAUGUCACCCAUGUUAAAUUUGAGUUGGUGUGGUUAUCGAGGUUGUUGAAGUCUUUUCUUGUCAUGGUUCAAUGCCAUGGAUGUUUUCUUGGGGUCUGAGAGUCCUUCUAGUAGUUCUC